rnacentral:rRNA from 1 species
AGUGAACGCUGGCGGUAGACCUAACACAUGCAAGUCGAACGGCAGCACAGUAAGAGCUUGCUCUUACGGGUGGCGAGUGGCGGACGGGUGAGGAAUACAUCGGAAUCUACUUUUUCGUGGGGGAUAACGUAGGGAAACUUACGCUAAUACCGCAUACGACCUACGGGUGAAAGCAGGGGAUCUUCGGACCUUGCGCGAUUGAAUGAGCCGAUGUCGGAUUAGCUAGUUGGCGGGGUAAAGGCCCACCAAGGCGACGAUCCGUAGCUGGUCUGAGAGGAUGAUCAGCCACACUGGAACUGAGACACGGUCCAGACUCCUACGGGAGGCAGCAGUGGGGAAUAUUGGACAAUGGGCGCAAGCCUGAUCCAGCCAUGCCGCGUGGGUGAAGAAGGCCUUCGGGUUGUAAAGCCCUUUUGUUGGGAAAGAAAAGCAGCAGGUUAAUACCCCGCUGUUCUGACGUUACCCAAAGAAUAAGCACCGGCUAACUUCGUG